rnacentral:lncRNA from 1 species
GUAAACCAGUUGAAAGGCCACAGGGGCCCAUUGUUGAUCUCAUGCUUUCAAAAUAUGGCCCUGAUAGUUUAAAACAUUUACAAGAAUGGUGAUGAGAGGGUCAUCAAGUACGGCACAGAUACAGAUACUAGACAUUUUAUAUUAUUUUAAUUCUGCUAUUUUAUACUAUUUUAAGCCCGUACAUACAUAUAUGAGUGGAUUACAGAUACAUAUUGCCUUUUGGUCAAAUAUUUAUUGACACACUUCACUCAACUUCUUGGAAAACAUGUAAUCAAACAAAUGUUUAUGUCCCUUUGCAUCUACUACCAAAUCAGCUUCUGACAUCCCAUUGGUUCACAUUGAUCCCUUACUGUGUUAAGUCCCGCCUCCAACAUCCUGUUUAAUCAGGUGAUAGAUCACAAGCUUGCACUUCACUGCAAUUGAAAGGCCAUCAAACAUUGCUAAACCAUAUUCACCCUGCAAGUGACAUUAAGUUACUGCAGGUCCACUUGUUUCCUGUACAGUCGAGUAGAACAACGCAAGUGAGGACGUGUACGUUUAUGUGAACUCAACAAGCUCCUUCACUGAGAACAUUGAUUUUGCCAACCUGAUCUGGAGGCUUUCCCAGUGAUGUGUUUCAGUUUCAACAGUUACACCUGUUGAUGAUUUCAAAAUGGUCAAAGAAUUGAUUCCAGACAUUGAAAUCCUCCCAGUUCUUUGCAACUUUCAACAUCUCAGAGACGGACUGGAAAGUGAUUUCACCUGUGGAAUUUCAAGUCAGCUCUAAAGACAUUUUGUUAGAGAUAUGUGACGGUUUUGACUUGAUCGACAACAGAAAUAGGAUUAAAAUCCAGUGUCUGUACAUUCUGAUGGUGAGACAGUUCACCUGGACCUCCACCUGGACUACAGAAAGAUGAACUCUGGGCUCCAUCUGCUCACCAGUCCACCUCUGGAAUGCUCUUCUGGUCCCGUCGAGCUCUUGGCCUCGUCCUUCCCGACUGAUGAUCAGCCAGACAACAUUACCUCCCGACCAAUCAGGCGCCUGGAUCCAUACCUCAUCCCACAGACUUCGUCCAUGGAUAGAGAUACAGAGAUAAAGCAAAGCAACAAGGUUGACUCCCCACCGGGACAUCGUUGGGGACCUGACGCAGAGUUUACACCUUCAGGGUCCGAAAAGUGAAGACACUAUAUCAAUCACAAUAUCAAGAUGAUGCAUUUUGUGUCCCUGUGUGUGUCUUAAACUCUUCUUUCAAUCUUUCAGUUUAUAAUGUUCCCCCAUGGUGCAUAUUCCUCAA